rnacentral:rRNA from 1 species
UACGGAGGAUGCGAGCGUUAUCCGGAUUUAUUGGGUUUAAAGGGUGCGUAGGCGGACGCUUAAGUCAGCGGUAAAAUUGCGGGGCUCAACCUCGUCGAGCCGUUGAAACUGGGUGCCUUGAGUGGGCGAGAGGUACGCGGAAUGCGUGGUGUAGCGGUGAAAUGCAUAGAUAUCACGCAGAACUCCGAUUGCGAAGGCAGCGUACCGGCGCCCAACUGACGCCGAAGCACGAAGGCGUGGGUAUCGAACAGG